GUACCCUCAAGCUCUGCUUGGUGUUGGGUGUUUGUCCUCUCCUCUGCGAUUGGACUCGCCUUAAAGCAAUUGGCAGCCAGUGUUUUGGUAUUGAAGCGCAGCACAUUUUGCGAUUCUAGCCUAAACACUUGCGUCCACAAGCCUUUUUAUAAC
rnacentral:misc_RNA from 1 species